GACGAACGCUGGCGGCGUGCUUAACACAUGCAAGUCGAACGGAAAGGCCCUGCUUUUGUGGGGUGCUCGAGUGGCGAACGGGUGAGUAACACGUGAGUAACCUGCCCUUGACUUUGGGAUGACUUCAGGAAACUGGGGCUAAUACCGGAUAGGAGCUCCUGCUGCAUGGUGGGGGUUGGAAAGUUUCGGCGGUUGGGGAUGGACUCGCGGCUUAUCAGCUUGUUGGUGGGGUAGUGGCUUACCAAGCCUUUGACGGGUAGCCGGCCUGAGAGGGUGACCGGCCACAUUGGGACUGAGAUACGGCCCAGACUCCUACGGGAGGCAGCAGUGGGGAAUAUUGCACAAUGGGCGGAAGCCUGAUGCAGCAACGCCGCGUGCGGGAUGACGGCCUUCGGGUUGUAAACCGCUUGCGCCUGUGACGAAGCGUGAGUGACGGUAAUGGGUAAAGAAGCACCGGCUAACUACGUG
rnacentral:rRNA from 1 species